CUACGGGUGGCAGCAGUGGGGAAUAUUGGACAAUGGGCGAAAGCCUGAUCCAGCCAUGCCGCGUGUGUGAAGAAGGCCUUCGGGUUGUAAAGCACUUUCAGUGGGGAAGAAAGCCUUGGGGCUAAUACCCUCGAGGAAGGACAUCACCCACAGAAGAAGCACCGGCUAACUCCGUGCCAGCAGCCGCGGUAAUACGGAGGGUGCGAGCGUUAAUCGGAAUUACUGGGCGUAAAGCGCGCGUAGGCGGUCUGAUAAGCCGGUUGUGAAAGCCCCGGGCUCAACCUGGGAACGGCAUCCGGAACUGUCAGGCUAGAGUGCAGGAGAGGAAGGUAGAAUUCCCGGUGUAGCGGUGAAAUGCGUAGAGAUCGGGAGGAAUACCAGUGGCGAAGGCGGUCUUCUGGACUGACACUGACGCUGAGGUGCGAAAGCGUGGGUAGCAAACAGGAUUAGAUACCCUGGUAGUC
rnacentral:rRNA from 1 species